UGGGGAAUAUUGGACAAUGGGCGAAAGCCUGAUCCAGCCAUGCCGCGUGUGUGAAGAAGGUCUUCGGAUUGUAAAGCACUUUAAGUUGGGAGGAAGGGCAGUAAGCGAAUACCUUGCUGUUUUGACGUUACCGACAGAAUAAGCACCGGCUAACUCUGUGCCAGCAGCCGCGGUAAUACAGAGGGUGCAAGCGUUAAUCGGAAUUACUGGGCGUAAAGCGCGCGUAGGUGGUUCGUUAAGUUGAAUGUGAAAGCCCCGGGCUCAACCUGGGAACUGCAUCCAAAACGGGCGAGCUAGAGUAGGGCAGAGGGUGGUGGAAUUUCCUGUGUAGCGGUGAAAUGCGUAGAUAUAGGAAGGAACACCAGUGGAGAAGGCGACCACCUGGGCUCAUACUGACACUGAGGUGCGAAAGCGUGGGGAGCAAACAGG
rnacentral:rRNA from 1 species